GUUAAUGUCCCUGCGAUGGAGCGACGACGCCGGACGGGCCGCAGCUGGACGGGCUGCCGCUUUACGGGCCGCUGUCCCAUCACAGUGGUUCUCUUCUUGACUCUUCCUACGUUGGCGCUGACAGACGGCGUCAGAUUAGUCGAUUUUGGAAAAUGCGCUGGAAGAGUCGAACUGUCCAACGGCACCAGAGUGUGUGGAGACGGGUGGAGUCUGCAGGAGGGCGGUGUCGUGUGUAGGGCUCUCUCCUGUGACAAAGCUUUGGCAGUGGGGCCUUUUGGCUCCGGCUCCAGGGCCAUUUUCCUGAAGGACGUGACGUGUAGUGGAAAUGAAAAGAGUCUGACCCAGUGCAAGAACUCAGGGUUUGGACCAAAGACCUGCCAAAGUGAAGCAGGAGUAGUGUGUUCAGGAGGCUUUGCUAAUCCGUCCGUCUCCGCUCGUCCCGCUGACGUCCACUGGGGCGGCAGCACAAGUGUCACAUGUUCCAUUUCAAAACAAAUCCAUCAGGUGACCAAAGGACGAUUCAACCUGAUCAAGAACGAGGUUCAAGAAGCGACGGGGGACAGUGAAUCUGAGACUUUUAAAGUGUCGGACGUGAAGUUUGAAGACAAACAUGAGUGCUGCUAUCAAGCGAAAGGAAACAUCUUCUGCAGCAAAGUCACCUUGAAUUUGACUGUCGAUUUGCGGUUGGCUCCGAACAUCUCAGCCUCGUUUCUUGACCAGCAGCAGUGGUCCACGUCCAGCAUCCAGGUCACUACGGGCUACGGUUUUGUCAUAAACUGCUCCACUUCGACCGCUUACCCCGAAGGCCUGUUCCUCCUGCGGUUCUCCGGCUCCAACAGCUCCUUCAGCGCGUCUUCAGUCGACCGCACGGCUUUGUUCUACUUCAACGUGUCCCGGAGCGAACACCAGGGACAAUACAGCUGCGAGUAUCACGUCACCGGGGCGGGACGCACGUACACCUCCCCGAAAUCUGACCUCUUCGUGGUGACCGUUAACCCACCUCUGCUUCUCAUUAUCCUUCCUGUGGGGGCAGUGAGUCUGCUGGUUCUUGUCCUGAUUGGAUUCUACUUCUUAUACAGAAGAAGAAGAAAAAGAAGAGGAAGUGCACACGUCACCGACCUCACAACCUCAACCCCAGCUCCAAUGAGCACCAUGAACCGAUAUGAAGACUCAGACGAUGAAGAGGAGGCCGACUACGUGAACGCUCCAGACGGAGGACAAGACGAGGACAGCGACGAGCCGGAUUAUAUGAACGUGACAGUGGUCAAUGAUAACGACAUCGUGGACAUUUAUGGAGGCGAUGAUGAGAAUAUUUAUCAGAACUGUUAAUUUAAGUCUCCUGCGCCGCUUCAGCAAAAAGGAGUUUGUGUUUUGUUUUAAGAAGUGGCACUUUUUGAGCUGUGAAAAAUGUUCGGUUAAGUGUGAUUCUUUUAUUUAGUUAAAAAAAUAAAUUAAAAUAUUG
ensembl:lncRNA